UUAACAAAUUAAAGAAGGGAUGGUUAGCCUCGUUUGGACAUGUGAUGCGUAAAGUGAAGAUGCAUGUGACUAGGAGAUGUAUGGAAAUGGUAGUGUAAGGUCGACCGAAGAAGACAUGGAUGGAGUGUGUGAAUGACGAUAUGAGAGAGAGAGGAGUGAGUGUUGAGAUGACGGCUGAUAGAAGAGAAUGGAAUAGAAAAAUUCGCUGUGCUGACUUCACCUAGUGAAGAAAAAGAAGAAGAGACUUAGCACGAUUCAAGUUCUUUCCUUUCUAAUUAUUUAUUUCUAUUCGUCGACAGCUACAUAGCCCAAGGACUACACUUACUUCAGCUGGAAUAUGAAAAAAUACGAAAUUAUACUAACAAAGCAAUUGAAUAAAGAUCGCAUUUUCAUCAUCAUAAUGACAUUAUGUCUGACACAAUAAAUGUUUGGUCAAGUGCUACGUAGUCCCCGGCCGCACGGCCCCGCGCCGCGCCGCCUUCACUAACUGUGUUUUACCUUAUACACGAUUUAACUUUAAAUACGUUUUUUUUAAAUCGGUCCGUAAAUCUUAAGUGUGGAAGUAUAAAGAAAUACCUGUAUUUUGAACGUAAAAAGAGUUUUUUUGGACCCGAGUCGAAUUUCCUAUAAAGCACCUGCGCCAUCGGGAUAGGUGGGUUAUAUGGGAAUCUCUUCUCGCCCAAACAGGGAUCACCGCCGUUGGAAGAAGUUCACUUGAUAUAAGGGACUCACUAAACGACACCCCAGGGCUAUGUGCAUUAACGACUUGGAGUGGACUCACAAGAAAUCCUACCACCAGGAGCAGCGCAUAAUGUGUAGCAGUGCUGACUCCCGCCGCCGCGCCGGCCGGGCCUGCAUAAUGUGCCGGCGAGCGCCAUCGCGUCAUCACGCGGACCAAAGUUGCUUACUGUGCCAUACUAGCGAAUAAUAUCGCUCUUCAAAUGACAUUGAUGUGCCGCUGUGUGACGAGGGCGGGUCCCACCUGUGGCUGCGGGCGGCGACCUGUGGCGCGCCCUGCCCGGGACCAGCUGCCGCGCCGGUACUGCCGACAUCACCUUCCGACCAGAUGUACCACGCCACUGUGUUCAGCUGCUCGUGGAGCCCAUAGACCAUGCAACUUACCGACACGAGACCGAACUAUCCAUUACAUCACAUUCCAAUCACGAGUUGCUGACGGGUGCUGCAUCACCGGCGCCGUUACACCAUCAGCUGAUAUCAUCGUGUUCUAUUUGAAUUGACAAUAAAAGCAUUGGCAGGGUUACAUCAAAAAACUUAACUCUGCAUAUUGUUUUUUAAAAGCACUACAAAUCCCCAAAGUUUUUGUACAUAAAUUACACAAUAAAUAUUGGGAAGUUCCGAAGCUCGAUCGGGGCUGGAAACAUGGAAAUUAAUAAAGAUUAAAGGUCAUCAUUUGAACGAAAUGCGUUUUGCCGGUCGUCCCCUCGAGGGCGCGCCGCCGCACGCGACCGCCGCGCCGCGCCCUCUAUAAACACGCGCUAAUCAUGCUAAUACUACCCCUCCACUCUACUUUGUAUUUCCUCGCAGACUAAUAAACUACCUUUGUAUUUUGAAUUUUCUUCGUUUAAUAAGUUGACUGGAAUGGAAAUAAUUAACUGUGACUUAGACAGGUCUCGACAGGUCGAACAUUUUGACGCAAUUGUUUGUAUGACAGAUGAAGAAACGAUCCUGCACCCCGACCGAUGGUAAGCGCUCACUACAACGUGAAAAGUAACAUUUGGAGUGGUGGUAGCGCGGACUGUACGCCGGCACCCCGCACCUCGCACCGCCGACCUACCUCUAGCUACUGCGAAACAUUCGGCACAGCUUCUCAUGGGCUUAGGUUUCCACUUCAAUUUGCUCUAUAACAUACAUUCUUAAUAUGAUUGCUCACACUGGACGAAGCGCUGGCGGCUUCAAGAAUCAUUGCCCACGUUAUUAACAAUGUUACAACUACAUAGCUAACAGGCUGCCAACCGUGAACCGUUGCGCACGAAAUAAGUUAACCCGCGGUUACGCUGACAAACAAUGUUCGACUUCAUGCUAUUAGCAACGUUUACGGGCGCGUGUGUGUACUCCUAGGUAUGUAUGUGUGCAGCAGUACGUACACUCCUUACACGAAACUUGACCCGCUCACCCAUUAAUAUUAAUACGCGUCGAGGGCGAGCACGUGUCGAGGGUCGUCCGCCGCACCGCCGCACCGAUCGACCUGCAGCGGAGGAGCCGGCGGGCGCGGGGGCGCGGGGGCGCGGGGCCGCUGUAUCCGAGCACUCGUGGCCUCGCCCGGGUUAUCACUCCGCGACCUCUUAUCGCACUCGCACACACACACCAGCGCAGCCCGCACUGCUGGCCGACCGUACCCACGAAAUGGGUCGCGUAUGUCGACACGUAAUUAGAACAAGAAACUGUUUAUUGUCAAGUGAGGGAACGUUGUCACAUUUUAUAUUAAUUGUAAGUAAAUGAGGAGGACGUAUCAGUGGACGCGCGGACGAGCAAUCAGCGGCGUGUGACCCGCGCUACAGAUAUCGGCUGACCCACACUUGUUGCACACACGCUCAUCUGCACUUUACUGUAAUUAUAUUUCACUACGACGAAGCUGAUCCCGUUGGAACUUUCCACUGAUUCUGUAUCCGACUCAUCAUCCGCUUGAAGCUGUAUGGCCGCCGUACUUCUGUUUCCGAUUACCACGAGCAACAGUAUACCUAAGCAGAAUAAGCGGUAUAGUACAAGGAUAAUCUAUUCUAACCCAAUUUCACUUGGUUAGCUAAUACAUUCAAUUAAAUGAAUUUAUCAAAUUAAGGAGUGUAGUAAAUAGCUACAGAAACUGAAAACCAAUAAUCACCUAAUAUCCUUGUUUAAUUAAAUAAAACAAGAACUUAAA